rnacentral:rRNA from 1 species
AUAGAUCCGUAACUUCGGGAAAAGGAUUGGCUCUAAGGGUUGGGCUCAUCGGGCCUUGGUUGGAAGCGCUAGGACCUAUCUGGGACUGUUGGGGGGGCAACUUCUUGACGGACUCGGUAAGGACUUGGUUGUGGAUGACCUUGGCUGCCUUCGGGGCGUCCGGUGGGCGAUUAACAACCGACUUAGAACUGGUACGG